rnacentral:rRNA from 1 species
UGGGGAAUAUUGCACAAUGGGGGAAACCCUGAUGCAGCGACGCCGCGUGAACGAAGAAGGUAUUCGUAUCGUAAAGUUCUGUCCUAUGGGAAGAUAAUGACAGUACCAUAGAAGAAAGCUCCGGCUAAAUACGUGCCAGCAGCCGCGGUAAUACGUAUGGAGCGAGCGUUGUCCGGAAUUAUUGGGCGUAAGGGGUACGCAGGCGGUUUAAUAAGUCGAAUGUAAAGAUCGGGGCUCAACCCCGCAAAGCAUUGGAAACUGAUAAACUUGAGUAGUGGAGAGGAAAGUGGAAUUCCUAGUGUAGUGGUGAAAUACGUAGAUAUUAGGAGGAAUACCAGUAGCGAAGGCGACUUUCUGGACACAAACUGACGCUGAGGUACGAAAGCGUGGGGAGCAAACAGG